CCUACGGGAGGCUGCAGUGGGGAAUAUUGCACAAUGGGCGCAAGCCUGAUGCAGCCAUGCUGCGUGUGUGAAGAAGGCCUUCGGGUUGUAAAGCACUUUCAGCGGGGAGGAAGGCGUUAAGGUUAAUGACCUUGUCGAUUGACGUUACCCGCAGAAGAAGCACCGGCUAACUCCGUGCCAGCAGCCGCGGUAAUACGGAGGGUGCAAGCGUUAAUCGGAAUUACUGGGCGUAAAGCGCACGCAGGCGGUCUGUCAAGUCGGAUGUGAAAUCCCCGGGCUCAACCUGGGAACUGCAUUCGAAACUGGCAGGCUAGAGUCUUGUAGAGGGGGGUAGAAUUCCAGGUGUAGCGGUGAAAUGCGUAGAGAUCUGGAGGAAUACCGGUGGCGAAGGCGGCCCCCUGGACAAAGACUGACGCUCAGGUGCGAAAGCGUGGGGAGCAAACAGGAUUAGAUACCCCAGUAGUC
rnacentral:rRNA from 1 species